rnacentral:lncRNA from 1 species
UUGGCCAUCGUAUGUCCGCUAGCAUGAGUCCCAAAAAUACCGUCAUGUAUGUCUUCCAUAAUCUUUUCCGCUUCCUUUUGGUCCACACAGCGAAGCAAAGUUGAAUCAUGAUUACGUUUAUAUAAUACUCCAUUACUCAAAAAGAAUUUAGCGGAGAACUUCCUCAGAAAUUUUCUGUCAUUGACGGAUGCCCCUUCAAGGUAUUCCCGAGUUUCUACAUAUCUUUUUACUUCGUGGAACCAAGGUUUCUCCUCUGCCCCCUCGGUAUU